CUGUAGGAAAUAAAUCAGAGGAGGUGCAAAAGUACUUGAUAGAAAUGUUUGAAAAAGCUGGUAAAGAGGUCUAUUUAGCACCUUACUUGCAUAAGGGUCAUUGGCAAUUGCUAGUUAUUGUUCCUGAUCGUUCUCUUGUAGUUCUCUUAUGUUCCUUGCAUAAGAAAGCUAACACAUUGUCCAU